UGGGGAAUAUUGGACAAUGGGGGCAACCCUGAUCCAGCAAUUCCGCGUGUGUGAAGAAGGCCUGCGGGUUGUAAAGCACUUUCAGUAGCCAAGAUGGGAUUUUUUGUUAAUACCAAGAAAUCUUGACAUUAACUACAGAAGAAGCACCGGCUAACUCCGUGCCAGCAGCCGCGGUAAUACGGAGGGUGCAAGCGUUAAUCGGAAUUACUGGGCGUAAAGAGUACGUAGGCGGCUUUGCAAGUCGGGUGUGAAAUCCCUGAGCUUAACUCGGGAACUGCAUUCGAUACUGCAUCGCUAGAGUAUGAUAGAGGAUAGUGGAAUUCCAGGUGUAGCGGUGAAAUGCGUAGAUAUCUGGAGGAACACCAAUGGCGAAGGCAGCUAUCUGGAGCAAUACUGACGCUGAGGUACGAAAGCGUGGGGAGCGAACAGG
rnacentral:rRNA from 1 species